ACAAAAAAAAAAAUAUUUUGGAGUCGGAGUCGUUCUCUGAAAAUUUCAGCGAAAAAAAAGUUUCAGAGAAAAGUUAUGUUCCAACUUGCUGAAAUUAAAAACAUUUUAAUAAAUAAAACUGUACAGUUCUCUAAUGAUACAGAAGGUUAUAAACAACUUAAAAGUUCAAAUAAACUUAAUGUUUUGAAAAGAAAAAUUGCAAAUGGAGAUAUCCAAUACAUCACUUUUGUAAAACAGUUAUCAUUAAUUGGCGGUAAAAAUUCAGUUGAUACAAUUAAAAAUAUUUUGCUCUUGUAAGUAAUUAGCAUAAGUUAAAAUAUUUAUAUAAAAAAUACUUUUGUGUUUUGUUAUCUCUCCAAGUGCUAUAAAAGGAGAAUCAGAAGCUUAUACAUGUUUUUUUAUUAAAAAUUUCAUUGAUUCAUUAAUCAUUCUUUAUAUUUAUUCAGACAAACUGUCUUAGUAAGUAUUUAUUUUAAAAUUUUUAAUUUUUAAUUGCAUGAAUUACAAAUACAUUAUAAUUUUAUUUGUUUUUAGAGCUAACAUAUGAAGCUUAUAGGCUAUUUCGAACUUAAAAUUAAAAUCAUUCACUAAAAGCCAAGACAGAGUAAUUACUAUGUUUCAAAACAUUUUUAUUUUUAAUUUUUUUAUUAGGUUGGUGGGUUAAAUAUGAUCAUUUAAAUGAGAAAAUGUAUACUAGUGCAACUUGUAAUCUAGUAAAACAAAUAUGUAUUGUGCUUUCUCUUUUUUAAUAACUGCAUGUGAAAUUGUUGAAAAUGUCAUUUCUAUGUGUUUUCUUUUUUAUGUUGGUUGAGGGGAAGGGGGAAAACCAUCCCUCUCCUCAAAUUGUACAUCACUAAUGUAUGUUCUAUAGUAAAAAAAUAUUGCUUUAUGUAAUACAACAAUGUUUUCAAUACUAAUGUAUGUUGUAGAGUUAUAAAAGUUUAUUUUUCCUUUUUAACAAUACAUUUGAUUAUUGAAAUAAAGAUC